AAUGAACGUUGGCGGCGUGGAUUAGGCAUGCAAGUCGAGCGAGAAGUCUCCUUCGGGAGGCGGACAGCGGCAAACGGGGUAGUAAGGUGUAGGUGACAUACCUCAAGGACCGGGAUAGCCGCGGGAAACUGCGAUUAAUACCGGAUAAUCUCUCUGUUCAUGAUCGGACGGGGAGCAAAUGGUGUGAUUCCGCCAUGAGAGCGGCCUGCGUGGUAUUAGGUAGUUGGUGAGGUACGGCUCACCAAGCCUGAGAUGCCUAGGGGGUGUGAGAGCACGACCCCCACCACUGGGACUGAGACACUGCCCAGACACCUACGGGUGGCUGCAGUCGAGAAUCUUCGGCAAUGGGCGAAAGCCUGACCGAGCGACGCCGCGUGCGGGAUGAAGGCCCUUGGGUUGUAAACCGCUGUCAGAGGGGAUGAAGUAUUAGAGAGUUAUCUCUCUAGUUUGACAGAGCCUCAGAGGAAGCACGGGCUAAGUACGUGCCAGCCGCCGCUGUAAAAC
rnacentral:rRNA from 1 species